rnacentral:rRNA from 1 species
ACAUGCAAGUCGAGCGGGGAUAUGCUUCGGUGAUUGACCUAGCGGCGGACGGGUGAGUAAUACUUAGGAAUCUGCCUAUUAAUGGGGGACACAUCUCGAAAGGGAUGCUAAUACCGCAUACGCCCUACGGGGGAAAGCAGGGGAUCACUUGUGACCUUGCGUUAAUAGAUGAGCCUUAGUCGGAUUAGCUAGUUGGUGGGGUAAAGGCCUACCAAGGCGACGAUCUGUAGCGGUCUGAGAGGAUGAUCCGCCACACUGGGACUGAGACACGGCCCAGACUCCUACGGGAGGCAGCAGUGGGGAAUAUUGGACAAUGGGGGGAACCCUGAUCCAGCCAUGCCGCGUGUGUGAAGAAGGCCUUAUGGUUGUAAAGCACUUUAAGCGAGGAGG